AGAGUUUGAUCAUGGCUCAGAGCGAACGCUGGCGGCAGGCUUAACACAUGCAAGUCGAGCGGGCGUAGCAAUACGUCAGCGGCAGACGGGUGAGUAACGCGUGGGAACGUACCUUUUGGUUCGGAACAACACAGGGAAACUUGUGCUAAUACCGGAUAAGCCCUUACGGGGAAAGAUUUAUCGCCGAAAGAUCGGCCCGCGUCUGAUUAGCUAGUUGGUAGGGUAAUGGCCUACCAAGGCGACGAUCAGUAGCUGGUCUGAGAGGAUGAUCAGCCACAUUGGGACUGAGACACGGCCCAAACUCCUACGGGAGGCAGCAGUGGGGAAUAUUGGACAAUGGGGGCAACCCUGAUCCAGCCAUGCCGCGUGAGUGAUGAAGGCCCUAGGGUUGUAAAGCUCUUUUGUGCGGGAAGAUAAUGACGUAC
rnacentral:rRNA from 1 species